CAAUAGCAUAUAUUAACGUUGUUGCAGUUGAAAAGCUCGUAGUUGAACUUUUGGUAGGAGCGACCUGGCCUUGGGCGCAUGCCCUUGUUCGCCGUGUGUCGUAUCUGGCCAUCCUUUUCCGCUUCGGCGGGAAUCCUUUACUGUGAGUAAACUGGAGUGCUCAAAACAAGACGUUUGUUUGGUACAUUAAAGCAUGGAAUAAUAAGAUAGGACCUGGUUACUAUUUUGUUGGUUUGCAUAGCUAGGUAAUGAUUAACAGGGACAGUUGGGGGUAUUCGUAUUUAAUUGUCAGAGGUGAAAUUCUUGGAUUUAUGAAAGACGAACGACUGCGAAAGCAUUUACCAAGGAUGUUUUCAUUAA
rnacentral:rRNA from 1 species